GGGGAGGUGCCGGAGUAUGGUCGAUCGGGAGCGCCUGCUAAGUGCUUGUACGGGCUUCUAAACCUGUACCGAGGGUUCAAAUCCCUCCCUCCCCGCCU
rnacentral:tRNA from 1 species